UUAAGCGACUAAGCGUACACGGUGGAUGCCCUGGCAGUCAGAGGCGAUGAAGGACGUGCUAAUCUGCGAUAAGCGUCGGUAAGGUGAUAUGAACCGUUAUAACCGGCGAUUUCCGAAUGGGGAAACCCAGUGUGUUUCGACACACUAUCAUUAACUGAAUCCAUAGGUUAAUGAGGCGAACCGGGGGAACUGAAACAUCUAAGUACCCCGAGGAAAAGAAAUCAACCGAGAUUCCCCCAGUAGCGGCGAGCGAACGGGGAGGAGCCCAGAGCCUGAAUCAGUGUGUGUGUUAGUGGAAGCGUCUGGAAAGGCGCGCGAUACAGGGUGACAGCCCCGUACACAAAAAUGCACAUGCUGUGAGCUCGAUGAGUAGGGCGGGACACGUGGUAUCCUGUCUGAAUAUGGGGGGACCAUCCUCCAAGGCUAAAUACUCCUGACUGACCGAUAGUGAACCAGUACCGUGAGGGAAAGGCGAAAAGAACCCCGGCGAGGGGAGUGAAAAAGAACCUGAAACCGUGUACGUACAAGCAGUGGGAGCACGCUUAGGCGUGUGACUGCGUACCUUUUGUAUAAUGGGUCAGCGACUUAUAUUCUGUAGCAAGGUUAACCGAAUAGGGGAGCCGAAGGGAAACCGAGUCUUAACUGGGCGUUAAGUUGCAGGGUAUAGACCCGAAACCCGGUGAUCUAGCCAUGGGCAGGUUGAAGGUUGGGUAACACUAACUGGAGGACCGAACCGACUAAUGUUGAAAAAUUAGCGGAUGACUUGUGGCUGGGGGUGAAAGGCCAAUCAAACCGGGAGAUAGCUGGUUCUCCCCGAAAGCUAUUUAGGUAGCGCCUCGUGAAUUCAUCUCCGGGGGUAGAGCACUGUUUCGGCAAGGGGGUCAUCCCGACUUACCAACCCGAUGCAAACUGCGAAUACCGGAGAAUGUUAUCACGGGAGACACACGGCGGGUGCUAACGUCCGUCGUGAAGAGGGAAACAACCCAGACCGCCAGCUAAGGUCCCAAAGUCAUGGUUAAGUGGGAAACGAUGUGGGAAGGCCCAGACAGCCAGGAUGUUGGCUUAGAAGCAGCCAUCAUUUAAAGAAAGCGUAAUAGCUCACUGGUCGAGUCGGCCUGCGCGGAAGAUGUAACGGGGCUAAACCAUGCACCGAAGCUGCGGCAGCGACGCUGAUGCGUUGUUGGGUAGGGGAGCGUUCUGUAAGCCUGUGAAGGUGUGCUGUGAGGCAUGCUGGAGGUAUCAGAAGUGCGAAUGCUGACAUAAGUAACGAUAAAGCGGGUGAAAAGCCCGCUCGCCGGAAGACCAAGGGUUCCUGUCCAACGUUAAUCGGGGCAGGGUGAGUCGACCCCUAAGGCGAGGCCGAAAGGCGUAGUCGAUGGGAAACAGGUUAAUAUUCCUGUACUUGGUGUUACUGCGAAGGGGGGACGGAGAAGGCUAUGUUGGCCGGGCGACGGUUGUCCCGGUUUAAGCGUGUAGGCUGGUUUUCCAGGCAAAUCCGGAAAAUCAAGGCUGAGGCGUGAUGACGAGGCACUACGGUGCUGAAGCAACAAAUGCCCUGCUUCCAGGAAAAGCCUCUAAGCAUCAGGUAACAUCAAAUCGUACCCCAAACCGACACAGGUGGUCAGGUAGAGAAUACCAAGGCGCUUGAGAGAACUCGGGUGAAGGAACUAGGCAAAAUGGUGCCGUAACUUCGGGAGAAGGCACGCUGAUAUGUAGGUGAAGUCCCUCGCGGAUGGAGCUGAAAUCAGUCGAAGAUACCAGCUGGCUGCAACUGUUUAUUAAAAACACAGCACUGUGCAAACACGAAAGUGGACGUAUACGGUGUGACGCCUGCCCGGUGCCGGAAGGUUAAUUGAUGGGGUCAGCGCAAGCGAAGCUCUUGAUCGAAGCCCCGGUAAACGGCGGCCGUAACUAUAACGGUCCUAAGGUAGCGAAAUUCCUUGUCGGGUAAGUUCCGACCUGCACGAAUGGCGUAAUGAUGGCCAGGCUGUCUCCACCCGAGACUCAGUGAAAUUGAACUCGCUGUGAAGAUGCAGUGUACCCGCGGCAAGACGGAAAGACCCCGUGAACCUUUACUAUAGCUUGACACUGAACAUUGAGCCUUGAUGUGUAGGAUAGGUGGGAGGCUUAGAAGUGUGGACGCCAGUCUGCAUGGAGCCGACCUUGAAAUACCACCCUUUAAUGUUUGAUGUUCUAACGUUGACCCGUAAUCCGGGUUGCGGACAGUGUCUGGUGGGUAGUUUGACUGGGGCGGUCUCCUCCUAAAGAGUAACGGAGGAGCACGAAGGUUGGCUAAUCCUGGUCGGACAUCAGGAGGUUAGUGCAAUGGCAUAAGCCAGCUUGACUGCGAGCGUGACGGCGCGAGCAGGUGCGAAAGCAGGUCAUAGUGAUCCGGUGGUUCUGAAUGGAAGGGCCAUCGCUCAACGGAUAAAAGGUACUCCGGGGAUAACAGGCUGAUACCGCCCAAGAGUUCAUAUCGACGGCGGUGUUUGGCACCUCGAUGUCGGCUCAUCACAUCCUGGGGCUGAAGUAGGUCCCAAGGGUAUGGCUGUUCGCCAUUUAAAGUGGUACGCGAGCUGGGUUUAGAACGUCGUGAGACAGUUCGGUCCCUAUCUGCCGUGGGCGCUGGAGAACUGAGGGGGGCUGCUCCUAGUACGAGAGGACCGGAGUGGACGCAUCACUGGUGUUCGGGUUGUCAUGCCAAUGGCACUGCCCGGUAGCUAAAUGCGGAAGAGAUAAGUGCUGAAAGCAUCUAAGCACGAAACUUGCCCCGAGAUGAGUUCUCCCUGACUCCUUGAGAGUCCUGAAGGAACGUUGAAGACGACGACGUUGAUAGGCCGGGUGUGUAAGCGCAGCGAUGCGUUGAGCUAACCGGUACUAAUGAACCGUGAGGCUUAACCUU
rnacentral:rRNA from 3 species